CAAUCCUGGGCAAGCUUCGAGAAUACGUGAGUACCAGGUGUCCGUUUCACAAGCAAGACGUCCCCGAGCCACUUCGGAUGUACAUACUUGGAGUGCCAGGACGAGAUAUACACACAGGACGGCCUCGUAUUCCGGAGUAACAAGAUGGCUUUGCUGGAGUGGUGCAAUACUCCACGUGAUGAUGUGCUCCAGCCCCCGUGCAGAGGCUGAUGGGACGCCAGACGAGAACUCUGCUACCGGCACCUACCAGCCAUUUAGAACCGAGAACCAUCCCAUCAGACGUGGUCCGAGGCCGCCUACAAGAAAUACGCCAACGACAGAGGACCUACUACAAUCGAGAUAGGAGAAACCUACCGCCUGUAAGACAAGGCCAGCAGGCCACCGUAUAGGACACACACCAGCGGAACUGGGAUCCUGCAGUCUUGAUCAGACUGAUCGAGGAACCCCGCAGGCGACCGUGAAAACUAAAGACGGCCGUGAACUUCGGCGCACAAGGGAGCACCUCCGUUCGGUAGAACCACAACCCGAGUCGAGCCCGCCAGACGCGAGUCUCGUCCCUCAAAACGGAUUGUCCUCAACGCCCCUUCAAGAACUUCGACGAAGCACAAGACAACGACGAGAGCCCCAUCGGUACCCUCUACCCGAGCGACAAUAAGCAUGAGUUAAUUCCGCUGUGAAAGGGAAGAUGUACCAAGGCUCAUAAAGCACCACUUCACUGUUUAUGUCAUUUCUGCGCAUACGGCACUGCAGCAGCAGUUGUGUAUAUUAUUGCUCUUGUUUCUCCAAUAAAGUUGUUCGUCGCCUGACCUCGACUCGCACACAGGAAGGCACUCCUGGACCUAUACUACGACUCCUGGCAGACUGGUACAGUUCCCCAAGCAUGGAGGUCAAGACGCCUCAUUCCACUUCUCAAAGCUGGAUAGUCGCCUCUGGACAUUUCCUCAUACCGUCCUAUCGCGCUAGCCAGUUGUGUGGGAAAAACAAUAGAAAGAAU
rnacentral:lncRNA from 1 species